rnacentral:lncRNA from 1 species
CAGACACAACCCACCGCCACUAUGUCUGACGAGGAAACUGAACAAGUUGAGGAACAGUACGAAGAGGAAGGUAACUCAGGAAGUCAGAGGCCUCUCAAAGCCCAUCCCUGGGAAGGCCUUGGGGCAUCCUCCCUGAGCUGACAAUUAACAGUUUACUCCCUUCCUCAAGAUUGCACUAUUAACCAUCAUCACUCAUCAUUAAUUAACUGUUAUUGAUUAAUAAUGCCAUUAUUUAAUUAAUGGUCAAUGGCUUGAUCAUUAAUUAAACCAUUAAUCCGCUAUCUCUUCGGUGGAUUAAUAGACACUCAUUAACCACUCACACAUGCCCUGUGGUCACUGUGUCCAUGGUGUGUGAAGCGGGGUGUGUUUCUGGCCAUUAAAACUCAUUCAUUAAUAACAAA